rnacentral:misc_RNA from 1 species
AGUUCUCUGCACUUCUCUUCUUUAGAUGCAAAAUCACCUCCACUGGUUGCGCGAUUCUUAACGUGCACCCUAGUUCUCUGCACUUCUCUUCUUUAGAUGCAAAAUCACCUCCACUGGUUGCGCGAUUCUUAACGUGCACCCUUCUCAAUAGUCUUUCGAGAUCCCACUCCUCCUUUUACCCGUUUAUUCAAAAAAUCCGUUCGUGCAUCUCUUCGCACAUAUAAGUGCGCUUUCCGUACAGUUCGACACAUUAUCUAUCCCUUGCUUUGCUGCAUUUGGGAAGAAGAGACAUAACGAUUAUUGGCAAUCUUUCAAUCAUGAAGAUUUCUUGUUGGAUUUUCUUUAUUUCGCUUAUUCUCUGUCUUUUCGCAUCCGGGUCUGUCUCAAUUGACAAUUUUCAGCAAGCGUUUCCAAUUAUUGAACCUGAUCCUGGUCAUACAAAGCUUCGGCUUGCAAGCGGUGGCUUGGAAGCCAUCAGACGAAUAACAACACCAAUAGCUGCAGUUGCUGUAUGCAUGAGAUACCUCUUCUUCUGUUUAUAAUAAUUGCAACUUAUUUUUCACCUAAUUUGGUUAAAAUAUCCAUGAUGUUUGAGUUCAUUAUAACUGCCAUGCGUAAAACAUACGAGCAUUUACUUAUUUAUUUAUUUUUUAUCUGACUUGGUUAAUCAUAUGAAUAUGAUUGGUUUAAUGAUGAAGUUACGUAUUAUUAUAUAUAGGGAAAAAUGAUCUUUGUUUUUUUUGGAGCUGGCAUGCACAUCCACAUUAUUUGAUAAAUUUUAACAUUUUUGUUGAGGAUCAAAAUCAUAAUUUUUUCCAUGAGUGUAAUGGUAAUAUGGAGUCCUAGGUUGAAAACUGAAUCUGGAUCCAGAAAGAAGCAAGUAGAGUUAUAGAAAUCUUUCAUUACCAACUAUGAGAAAGAAAAAAAAUACUUGUGGAAAUCAGUUGUGAUGAGAAGGUUAAUGAUUUCUAUAUUUUCAGCCUAGUAAGUUGCAAUAUAAUUGCAUAUUGUAGGAUUUUAUGCUAUUCUUCAUGAGAUGGGCUUCAAAACUCUUGUGGACAGUGAAAUUUUGAGAGCUGAAAAUUUUUAAUGAUGAGAAAUCUAUGCUUCAGAAAAUUUUAAGUUUGUGAGUUUUCAGAAAUUCUUAUUUCUUUAACAAUUUUUAAUGAAGCAAUGACACUUGAUCAAUUUCUUGAUGCUUUUCGCACAGUAGGUUUACAUAAAUUGCCCAUAUAGCAUGUCUAGCUUUGGUCAAUACUUGUAUCUAACAAGUACACCUAAAAUUUUAUUUUUAUUAUGUAAAGAAUAUUUAUAAUCUGUAUAACCAUAUGAAGAGCAGUUGUUCUAUUUUAUUUUACCCUUUUUCCCUUUUAUUUGAUGGUUGCAUAAUCAGGUUAUUGGUCCAUACCGCUCUGGAAAAUCAUUUUUGCUUAAUCAGCUUCUUUCCCUUUCUUGUUAUGAAGGUUUUGGAGUUGGACACAUGCGUGACACGAAGACAAAAGGGAUUUGGGUUUGGGGAACUCCAGUAAAAUUGGAUAUCAAUGGAGUUAAAACUUCCGUGUUUUACAUUGAUACGGAGGGAUUUGAAAGUGUUGGAAAGUCAAAUGUAUAUGAUGACCGAUCCGAGAAGCUGAUAUAUCCCGCCUGUCAUUUGCAGUCGAGCUUGCUGAAGAAUUUUAUGGAAGAGUGAAGGGCCAAGAUUUUGCUUUUGAACCUGUGAAACUACCUUGGCUUGUCCAGCACGAUUUUCUACAAGGGAAAUCAGUGCAAGAAAUGCUUAAUGAAGCCCUUCAGCGUGUCCCUAACAAUGAUGGGGACAAAAAUAUUGAUCAGGUUAACCAGAUUCAAGAAUCACUUGCUAUUAUGGGUGAUAAUAGCACAUCUUUUAGCUUGCCACAGCCUCAUCUCCAGCGAACAAAGCUUUGCGACAUGAAAGAUGAUGCGCUUGACCCAGUAUAUGUUAAAAGAAGGUAGCAAUUGAAGGAGCUUGUUUCUAGCAUUGUUCAUCCUAAGAUUGUGCAGGGAAAACUUCUAAAUGGACAAGAUUUUGUAGCUUUCCUGGAGCAGGUAGCUUUGUUUAUAGCAUCCUUCGUUGUCAUAUCAGGUGGAAUUGCAUGCAAGUUAAAAGUUGUGUUGGAGAUGUGAAAAUUGAUUUUACCUUAAACUUUAUGUCAAUUUCGCACACCUUUCCAUUUUUAGCAUUAAAAUUGUAAAAUUACUUUCUUUUUAAUUGAAAAAAAAAAGGCUACUAUGACUUUUUCAUGUUGGGUUAAAACUUAUUGUGGAUAUAGCAAUUUUUGUCUCAUCAUGCACUCUUUUGUUAACACAAUGAUAGAAGUGUAAACAUGUCACUUAUCCCAAAGGGGGUAAAAAAAUAAAAGGUUAGAUAAUGAAUUAACAUGAACGAAUUUCAACUAAAUGUGACACAUGCUGCCUAUUUUCUUAGCAGUGCCCAUCUAUGUGACAUGUGCUUAAUGGUUGCAAUUGGAUGAUGUCCUUGAUGCAAUGGCAUCAAUUACCAGUCAUAUUGGAACACCUUCCUUCAUAGCAGAGAUUACCUUGUUUCGCUGUAUGUUAAGUUUAGGGAAUGGAAGAGGGAAAAGGGGGAAAAAGUAAGAAGAAAAAAGUAUAGGUGAAUUUUUAGGUUUAGUGAUGCUGAUCAUUUAUCUUCCCUAAGCUUUCAUCUUAAAAUUUUCGGAUACUUGAAGCCUUGCAUGAAGGGGAGAUUCCAUCAACGGGAUCUCUGGUGGAGGUUUUCAACAAGGGUAUUUUUGAGCAAUGUUUGAAGCUAUACAGCGAAACGAUGGUAAAAUUAAGUUUACCACUCCCUGAGCAGUCUCUGCAAGAUGCUCAUGAAAGGUCUAGAGGAGAAGCAAUGAAAUCUUUUGAUGAACAGCAUUUUGGGCGUAACCGUGCAAAGAGAUCCUUCAUGCAACUGGAAGAGGAAAUAGACAAGGUAUGAUAUGAUGAUGAUUCUUUUCUCAUUAAACGAAAUCAUUAAUCUAUAGAUCUGUUUUUUGGAACUGAUAGGUAGAGAAGUAUAAUUACAUGUUCUGCAAAAAGAUUUUGUUGAUUGGCUUGAAGAUUUUUUAUGUGACUUUAUUGAAAAAACUCGAAACAAACUUUGCAAAUACGGAUUCACCCCCCGAGAGAGAGAGAGCUGCACUGCAUUAUAUUUUGAUCCUGUGCAGAUAUUUACUGUGGAAAUUCUAUCUAGCCUUAUAAGAAUGUCAUACUGGCGAAUGAUUAUCAAUCAGCAAAACUCUGCGAGGCAUUGUAUGUUAGAUGUGAGGACAAAAUGGACCAACUUCAAGUUCUCAGACUUCCUUCCAUGGCAAAGUUCAAUGCUGGCCUUCUUCAAUGCAGCCAAAGUUUUGAGCAGGAGUGUGUUGGACCCUCAAAAGCAAAUUAUGAGCAACGCAUGAUGAAGAUGCUGGGGAAGUCAAAGUCUCUAUUUAUAAAAGAAUACAACCAAAGGCUCUUCAAUUGGUUGGUGGCUUUCUCCCUUGUCCUGGUGGUAGUGGGCCGGUUUAUUAUAAAGUUCAUUUUGAUAGAAAUGGGCGCAUGGAUACUUUUUAUCUUCUUUGGAGACACACACAAGGAUGUUUUGGUCUGCAGAAUCUCUCUAUUACAAUCCGGUUUGGCAUUUUAUUGUAGCAACUUGGGAAACGCUUGUUUACAUCCCUAUCCUUGAUCUGGACAGAUGGGCAGUGCCAAUCGGUUUUGUAGUGUCAAUUUUGGUAAUUUAUUGGCGUUGUUAUGGCAAAAGGAAACAAGUGUCGCGAUGGCUAUUGCCUCUGUACAACAAUCCUAAAGACGGUCCUAAUAGGCCAAGAUCAGACAGAAUGAUUUCUUUACUGUAUGCCUUCAAUAUUCGGCAUGCUUUUGUUUGACCAUCAUUGGUGAGCUUUCCAUUUUUUCAUUUAUGAAGCUUUGCCAUUCUAUUUUUGUUUCCCUUGCACAGACGUAUGAAACCAAAAUGGAGAAGAGGUGAAGGAUGCAUGUGAUGAUUUGCCCAUCAGCGCUGAUAUCAUUUGUAACUCUAGCAUUUCCUGAUUGUUUAUAUCUGUGUAAACUCUUGAUUACUUGGAAGUGUCUAUUAUUUCACAGGUUUAGAUAUUCUAUAAAUAUUAUAAAUACAGUUUUAUUAAGUCACAGUUAUUCAUUCAAGUCAACCCAGAAAAUUAGCAUUUCAACUGUACAGCCAUUACAUAAUGACUUAUCUUCAAUUCUAAAAAAAAAAAAAAUUGUGGUA